rnacentral:rRNA from 1 species
UACGGGGGGAGCGAGCGUUGUUCGGAAUGACUGGGCGUAAAGGGCGCGUAGGCGGAUAAUUAAGUUUGGUGUGAAAUACCUGGGCUCAACCUGGGAACUGCAUUGAAAACUGAUAAUCUAAGAGAAUUGAAGGGGAUGAUGGAAUUAUGCAUGGAGAGGUGGAAUUCAUAGAUAUGCAUAAGAACACCGGAGGCGAAGGCGAUCAUCUGGUCAAUAACUGACGCUGAGGCGCGAAAGCGUGGGGAGCGAA